rnacentral:rRNA from 1 species
UUCAGCAGUCCAAGGAUAUUAGUCAAUGGCCUAACGGCUGAACUGGCAACUUGGAGAAGUGGCAAGUCUUCCAGUAUGGGGAGCAAAACAGCUAUGGGUCAAGUCCGAUAUCUUUAGGAGAAGUCUUAUUGUGAGGGCGAGUUAUAUAACACCAUAGGACUGGCCGUCCCAUAUGAAAAGAUUAUAUUAGAAUUGAAUGAAGCUUUGUUUAUAUAUUGAUAAUGACAGUAUAUAUAUCGUGUCUUGACUAAUUGCGUGCCAGCAGUCGCGGUAAUACGUAAGAGACUAGUGUUAUUCAUCUUAAUUAGGUUUAAAGGGUACCCAGACGGUCAAUAUAGCUUAUAAAAUGUUAGUACUUGACUAGAGUUUUAUGUAAGAGGGCAGUACUUGAGGAGGAGAGAUGAAAUUUCGUGAUACCAAAGGGACUCUGUAAAGGCGAAGGCAGCCCUCUAUGUAAAAACUGACGUUGAAGGACGAAGGCACAGAGAACAAACAGGAUUAGAUACCCAAGUAGUCUUUGCAGUAAAUGAUGAAUGCCAUAGGUUAGAUUGGUCAAUUAUAGUCUAGGGUUAGUCUAGCAAACUAAUACCCUAUGCUAUAAUCCUAAUAUCUGGUCUAUAAAUGAAAGUGUAAGCAUUUCACCUCAAGAGUAAUGUGGCAACGCAGGAACUGAAAUCACUAGACCGUUUCUGACACCAGUAGUGAAGUAUGUUAUUUAAUUCCGAAUAAUCCGCCAAA